rnacentral:rRNA from 1 species
AAUAUUGGGCAAUGGAGGUAACUCUGACCCAGCCUUGCCGCGUGCAGGAAGACUGCCCUAUGGGUUGUAAACUGCUUUUAUACAGGAAGAAACACUCGUACGUGUACGAGCUUGACGGUACUGUAAGAAUAAGGACCGGCUAACUCCGUGCCAGCAGCCGCGGUAAUACGGAGGGUCCGAGCGUUAUCCGGAAUCAUUGGGUUUAAAGGGUCCGCAGGCGGUCAAUUAAGUCAGAGGUGAAAUCCCAUAGCUUAACUAUGGAACUGCCUUUGAUACUGGUUGACUUGAGUCAUAUGGAAGUAGAUAGAAUGUGUAGUGUAGCGGUGGAAUACAUAGAUAUUACACAGAAUACCGAUUGCGAAGGCAGUCUACUACGUAUGUACUGACGCUCAUGGACGAAAGCGUGGGGAGCGAACAGGAUUAGAUACCCUGGUAGUCCACGCCGUA